CGCACUGCCUGAACGCAUAGGGACGCACGGCGUACGGCGCCGCCGCCACGCGUUGCCGAUCUUCAUCUCCGACUUCUCUCUUGUGCCGCCCCCGCCGCUACCUUGUUCUCCUUCCCCUCCCCACCCAGCCCCAAUCUUCCCCGGCGCCACCCUCAGCCUCCUCCACGUCCAACCUCCCUCCGGCGGCCGUGUCCGUUUUGGAUCGGAUCCGCGUAGGAGACCUACUCCAACACGUAGCCAUGGGUGUUCGACCUGGACUCCGCAUAGAAUUCGCUGGUAUUAGACGAAAGCCUCGAUUAGAAAUCCAACUAAAUUGCAUUGCAAGUCUGCAAGUUUGGAACUGUCCAAUGUCGCCUCCACCCACUUUGCCGGAAGACCACCCAAUGUCGCCUCUGUCGACUUCGCCGGAAGACAAUCCGCUGUCCAACAAUGUUCCACAGUUCGCUGAAACUUCGUCGGCCGGUUCUCCACUUGAGAGUCUCUCUCCAUGAACACCAUAUGUCGUCCGCCCAUACUCCACACUUCGCCGGAACUCCGUCUGUCGGUUCUCCACUUGAGGUAUGUAUGAAGCUAACCUUGGAAUUUCCGGAUAGUCGUCUACACGCCCAUGUUUUGUUUGCACCAGGUCAGGUCAUACUCCUUUAGUACGUUUUUUUUACUUUUUUGCUGGGAGGCUUAGCGAUGUAAUAUGACGAUGUUCUUCAGUCAGCACUACUACAGCAUGCUCCUCCCUUUACUUGUAUUUGUAGGGUGCCCAGUAGUUUGUUCUACUAUUGAAAGUAUUUUCUUCAGUUGCGGAAAUGUAAGCUUGGGUACCAAUUUUACACCAAAUUUGUGUCGAACUAUCGAUAGUGAAUGUCUAAACUUGAAUGCUAGACCUACUUAUGGUUAAUAGAUCUUGUUGUUCUCAAGACUCAACUAUGGAUGUCAAAAUGUAGAUACUGGAUGUCUAAACUUGAGUGCUAGACCUACUUAUGGUUAAUAAAUCCUGUUGUUCUCAAGACAUAACUAUAGAUGAACAAUUUUGCAAACUUUGUCUGUUGGCAUAGACUCAAGCAAGCACCUCUUUGAGUUGUACUUGCCAGAUUUAGGAGUUAGUUAAUCCUCUUUGUUCCUAUUGAUGCACAUGAAUUUGGAUAUAUGAUUAUUGGUUCAUGUUUGAUCUAUGAUAUACACGUGAAUAGGUCGAGAAGGUGGAGCUACAAUUAAGCACUUGUUGUACUGGGUCGGUAUAUGACAUAUUCUCUAUUACCUGAGUCAACACCCACUGCAGAGCAUAGGGCUUGAACAUGGGUAGCAGGCUGGGUGCACGCCCACGCAUACACCUAUAGCAAACUCGACGACCCAUUUCUCAACUAAUCAUAAUUCAUAAUGACAUGACCUCUUCGAAACAUGCUAUUUGCAUAGUAUCUUGAACGAUGUUAUAAAAGAUUAAAUCAUAACUGUAAGAACUGAAGUUUGUUCAGUCUCUUUGUGCAACCAGUCAUGCCAUGGCUUUUCAUAAUUAGGUAACUAAAUAGAUUAAUCAUUAGGUAAAGAUAUACUGAUAUUUAUUUGCAAUGAUUUCAUCUUUCUUUUCACCUCCCUGUUCUUCUUGCUGGUGGUUUUGAUUUUAAUCAAGCAGUCCAAAAGUCUAUUGGUAAACAAUGUUGUGUUAUGUUGCGUUUGUUAGCGGGUCUAAUUAACAAUUUGGGCUCUAGAAAAAUGAUAAAAAUCAUUGUGUUCCAAUUCAAUUAGAGGCUUAUCUGAUACCUAUCAUAUUCUUCGUUCGUUAUUCAGCUUGUUGUUGUGUGUAUGUAGCAAAAUCCCAGAUGCUAUAGCUGAAGCAGCUUUUGUUCGGUCUUGCUCUUCUGUCCAUUUUCUUCAUUUUUAUUAUGACAACAACAUUGUAGUUUAAUUAUGGCUGAUGUGUACGCCAGAAAUAGGCGGAUCCGGAAAUGGUUAAUUAGAUUAGAAUGUAAAAUUUUGUCAUACCGUCACUAUGCAUGUGCUGAAGUUCAAUACAUAGGCAAUCAGCUGAGCUAUUAUUUGUCUUUCAUUAGUUUAUUUUUCUUCUUUCCAUUGGAUGAAGUGUAGAUUCUUUUCCUGGUCUUUUGAUGGUCUGCUAGAGUGUGUUUUGACAAUGCUUUAGGCCAUGUUUGGCUGCUAAGUUAUUUUUAUUGCAGAAAUAAUAUUCAAUUUAGAGACACAGACAUAGCAGACGCGACCAUGUUGUAUCCAAGGUGGCAUCCCCACAUCAUUCAAAUUCCUUUUCUCUGUCAUGCAUAGAUGAACUUAAUUUGGCAGGUGUAGAGUUGUCGGCAGAGGAUAUUACUAUUGUGGCAUGGGUUCACUUCAUAUAUACAAGUGCAGUGUUACCUUUAGAAAUUUCAUGGAAGUAUUUGGUGGUGUUUUCUCGCUCCUGAUUGUAGUCAAUCCUUACGAAGGAUGGUGUAUGGACCAGGCAGCCGUCACGUUCAACUCAACAAGAUUAUUUUUUGAAGUUUUAA